CUUUUUUUUUUUUUUUUUUUUUUUAAACUACUUGCGUCUUCCAAAAAAAAAACUUGUGUUUCAAUGUUGCCACGACUCAGACCCUCAGUUCUUCCUUGACUCAAUCUGAUUUGUGCUUCAUAACUUUGCCGAAAAAAUUCAGAGCUAAGGUGUUGAUUAUUACAGUGGAAUGUCCACCAUAAGGAUUUGAUUUUUUUAGUAACUUGACGAUUCCACUUAACAUUGUCAGGCUAUUCAACUGUUUGAUUGUUUGUAGCUGGAUACACAAUACUUGUGAAUGAUUUUAUUCAGUAUAGAGUUUUACCUUGUAAAAUAACCGCAGUGUUGUUUUCAAUAGAAAAAUAUAAUAUGUUAUUUUAGAAGGAGAUUAAAAAAUAUAAUUUUUUAACAUCCCUUAAUGUAGUAUUUGUGAAUUAAGAUGUGAUAUGGUGUAAUGAGACGUCAGUGUCUGGUGUUUUGUAUGCUGUAUUUACUAAAUCUAUAUUUGGAGUUUGUAGCUCCUAACUCUGGGCCUAUGCAAUAUGUUGUCUCCCCUGAUAACCUUCACCUAUGCGUGUGCUGUAUAACAGGAGAGACAGAAAAUAACUUGCACAGCGUAAGGGUUCUUCCUGUUUUUAGAAAUCAUGGACAACUCUGUGUCAGUCAGCUGAAGAAGAAAGCAGCAAGACUUAUACUAUUGACAAGAAAGUUCCCAACUGAAUUGUCGAGUACUGUGUGCCCUGGUGAAUGGUGAUGCAGUAAAGGUCUCUGUAUGAGACUGCGGCCACGUGGGACAGUGGCAUAUCUCAUCAUGUAGUCCAAAUAAAAUGUUGACAAUUGUGUUGUGACAUGAAUAGAAUUUAAAUUCAGCUUGAGGUAGUGUCUUCUUCAUCCCGUCUGGUGUGACUAAUGACUUGCCUGUGUCCGCUUAGUCAAAAGGUCAGACGCUCACUGAGAAAAACUGUAGAAAUGAAUGCCCUUUUUUAAGACAUCCUGACCAGGCAAGACAAACCUAUUUAUAGACAAACAAUAUAAACCCAUCAAUAAGAAAGUGUAUUUUCAUAACAGCAAGAAAGAUAACAGUGAAACAAACUACAUUUUAAUUCAUCUUUCCAACUAGCAGCCAACACAGAAACAUAACAUCCUGUCUAGAUUUGUAUAGUUUCCAAGUUUCUCCCCACUCAAAACUAAAUGAUUUAUUUACAAGCAUUUUUGAGAUUGUUAAAAACAAUAUAUAUGAAAAACUAAUGCAGUUUUAUUUUGUGUAUACUAUUGAAAACGAAACAAAAAAAAAGUAUAUCCUAUGGUGUAAGUCACUAUAUUCUAACUCCUCUAUAUCAGACUUCUAUAUACUGUAUUCAGUCUACACAGUAGUCAGAAUGUUGAGUAUCUUAGUUUCGAUUGUAUAUAAUUAUUUGAACUUAAUUUAGUUGUUUUUUU